rnacentral:rRNA from 1 species
AGAGUUUGAUCAUGGNUCAGAAUCAACGCCGGCGGCGUGCCUAACACAUGCAAGCCGNACGCGAAAGUCCCGCAAGGGAUGAGUAGAGUGGCAAACGGGUGAGUAACACGUGGGUGACCUGCCCUCGAGCGGGGGAUAACGUCCCGAAAGGGACGCUAAUACCGCAUGACAUCCUGCCUUUGAACAGGCGGAGAUCGAAGCUGGGGAUCGCAAGACCUAGCACUCGAGGAGGGGCCCGCGCCUGAUUAGCUAGUUGGUGAGGUAACGGCUCACCAAGGCUUCGAUCAGUAUCCGGCCUGAGAGGGCGGACGGACACACUGGGACUGAGACACGGCCCAGACUCCUACGGGAGGCAGCAGUGGGGAAUUGUUCGCAAUGGGCGCAAGCCUGAUGACGCAACGCCGCGUGGAGGAUGAAGACCUUCGGGUCGUAAACUCCUUUCGAUCGAGACGAAUNNCCUCNUUNGUGAACAAUGGCCCNGGNG